GAGAGAGAGAGAGAGAGAGAGAGAGACCGGGGGUAGGAUGAUUGCGUCACAGCUGAGCUGACAAACGACCACUGAAAGCAUGUUUCAUGCAAAUGGCUGAGAGAAUUGAAACAACAAUGAUAAGUAUGAACAGGGAAAAAGAACAAAUGGAUGACAAUUUUGCUCUUUAAAAGAUGCCACACAUGGUCAAUAAAAGAAUGGCUUCCAAAGCUCUGAAUUCAAAGGGCAAAGAGUAAGUGGCCAAAUUUCCAUCUCCUGCCAACUGUGGUCCAAGUUCCAACACCAGCCACUUCUCCAGACCCAGUCCACGAAAAUCCAGCACGAGCAAAGAGUC